GCCACGUCAGCCUUGAGCGCGCGCGCCGUGAUGGGGAAGGAGGUGGCGGCGGAGGUGGGCGUGCGGCUCGCGCUGUUCGCGGCCUUCCUGGUAACAGAGCUGCUCCCGCCCUUCCAGAGGCUCAUCCAGCCCGAGGAGAUGUGGCUCUACCGGAAUCCGUACGUGGAAGCAGAGUAUUUCGCCACCAAGCCGAUGUUUGUCGUCGCCUUGCUGGCCCCGCUGGCCCCGGUCCUCCUGGCCAGGUGUCUGAAGAAGGCGGACGCAGCGGACAGCCGGCAGGCCUGCCUGGCUCCGACGCGUCCUCAGCCCGGGUCGCGCGUUCUCCCUGUGCCACGGCGGAGUGGCCACCGGGGGCCGGGAUUAUUCUCACGCUCCGCUCCGGCUGGAGCCCGAGCGCUUCUCUGUCCCCGGAGACCGCGGCUGCGCCUAACGAGACAGGGACCCGGCCGCUCCUCCUGGGCAGACGCUACCAGCAGCUACUUCCGUUGCCUUCCAGCUGCCAGCCUGGCCCUGGCUCUGAACGGCGUCUUCACCAACACAGUCAAACUGAUAGUGGGGAGGCCACGCCCAGACUUCUUCUACCGUUGCUUCCCCGACGGGCAAGCCCAUCAUGACUUGAUGUGCACAGGAGAUGAGGACGUGGUGAACGAGGGCCGCAAGAGCUUCCCCAGUGGACAUUCUUCCUUUGCAUUUGCUGGUCUGGCCUUCGCGUCCUUCUACCUGGCAGGGAAGUUACACUGCUUCACACCACGAGGCCGAGGGAAAUCCUGGAGGUUCUGUUCCUUUCUGUCACCCCUACUCUUUGCAGCUGUGAUUGCACUGUCCCGCACCUGUGAUUACAAGCAUCACUGGCAAGAUGUCCUGGCUGGAUCCGCCAUCGGCCUGACGUUCGCCUACGUCUGCUACAGGCAGUACUACCCUCCCCUGACGGACGCCCAGUGCCACAGACCACUGCAGCACGGCCCUGCUCUUCCCACCGCGCGAAAGCAGCCCGGCGACCCUCGUCAUUUCGAUGUUUAGACACUGGAGCUGCCUCCCUGGAAAACAAGGACUGAAGAUCUGCCCAAAUGCGCCAGCUGUGCCAAGCGGCCAAGGCAGGGCAGGGUAGUCAGAGACCUGGCUGUCUGGAGGGCAGGACUUUGGAUACCAUGAUACAUUUACUUACACGAAACCGAUAUAAAAAACGAAACACAGCUUGCCUGUCUACACCGCUCUGUCCACCAGGGCCUGUAGGAACCUGAAAGGAGUGUGAAGGACUGUCACAAAGAGAACCGCAAAGACAAUCACAUGCUGAGACCUGUGAGAAAGAAAAUACCUGCAGCACAGUGGUGAGCAAGAUGCCUUGGAAACAAUUAGUCUCCAUUCACCCGUCUUCUUCAAGGUGCAUCUCACUUGGCACGCUCUGACACUGACUCUGCAACAGCUGUUUCUGGCCCCACAGACGCAGGUUUGUCUUGCAGAAUAAGGAACACUUCCCCCUAGCCAGAUCUACCAACACUGCCUGUGCCGGGAGCCUGUCCCGCAGCGUCCUGCACUACAGGUACCUAAGAAGGCAACGCUGUUUAUGUGCUUGAAGAGGACACUCUUCAAUACUCCCUGCACCCAAGCAGCUGUGGCAGAUGGCUUACACAAAUUCUAUUUCACCAUCAAUGUACCAC